rnacentral:rRNA from 1 species
UACGGAGGGGGCGAGCGUUGUUCGGAAUCACUGGGUGUAAAGGGUGCGUAGGCGGUCUCUCAAGUCUGAUGUGAAAUCCCUGGGCUCAACUCAGGAACUGCAUUGGAAACUGAAAGGCUGGAGUACCGGAGAGGGAAGCGGAAUUCCUGGUGUAGCGGUGAAAUGCGUAGAUAUCUGGAGGAAUACCGGUGGCGAAGGCGGCAUCCUGGACCAUAACUGACGCUGAGGCGCGAAAGCUAGGGGAGCAAACGGG